rnacentral:rRNA from 1 species
UUUAAAUUUAGAGUUUGAUCCUGGCUCAGGACGAACGCUGGCGGCGUGCUUAACACAUGCAAGUCGAGCGAUGAAGCUUCCUUCGGGAAGUGGAUUAGCGGCGGACGGGUGAGUAACACGUGGGUAACCUGCCUCAAAGUGGGGGAUAGCCUUCCGAAAGGAAGAUUAAUACCGCAUAAUAUAAGAGAAUCGCAUGAUUUUCUUAUCAAAGAUUUAUUGCUUUGAGAUGGACCCGCGGCGCAUUAGCUAGUUGGUAAGGUAACGGCUUACCAAGGCAACGAUGCGUAGCCGACCUGAGAGGGUGAUCGGCCACAUUGGAACUGAGACACGGUCCAGACUCCUACGGGAGGCAGCAGUGGGGAAUAUUGCGCAAUGGGGGAAACCCUGACGCAGCAACGCCGCGUGGGUGAUGAAGGUCUUCGGAUUGUAAAGCCCUGUUUUCUAGGACGAUAAUGACGGUACUAGAGGAGGAAGCCACGGCUAACUACGUGCCAGCAGCCGCGGUAAUACGUAGGUGGCGAGCGUUGUCCGGAUUUACUGGGCGUAAAGGGUGCGUAGGCGGAUGUUUAAGUGGGAUGUGAAAUCCCCGGGCUUAACCUGGGGGCUGCAUUCCAAACUGGAUAUCUAGAGUGCAGGAGAGGAAAGCGGAAUUCCUAGUGUAGCGGUGAA